rnacentral:rRNA from 1 species
GACGAACGCUGGCGGCGUGCCUAAUACAUGCAAGUCGAGCGAGCUUGCCUAGAUGAUUUUAGUGCUUGCACUAAAUGAAACUAGAUACAAGCGAGCGGCGGACGGGUGAGUAACACGUGGGUAACCUGCCCAAGAGACUGGGAUAACACCUGGAAACAGAUGCUAAUACCGGAUAACAACACCAGGCGCAUGUCUAGAGUUUGAAAGAUGGUUCUGCUAUCACUCUUGGAUGGACCUGCGGUGCAUUAGCUAGUUGGUAAGGUAACGGCUUACCAAGGCAAUGAUGCAUAGCCGAGUUGAGAGACUGAUCAGCCACAUUGGGGCUGAGACACGGCCCAA